rnacentral:rRNA from 1 species
GAUGAACGCUGGCGGCGUGCCUAAUACAUGCAAGUCGAGCGAACAGACGAGGAGCUUGCUCCUCUGACGUUAGCGGCGGACGGGUGAGUAACACGUGGAUAACCUACCUAUAAGACUGGGAUAACUUCGGGAAACCGGAGCUAAUACCGGAUAACAUGUUGAACCGCAUGGUUCAACAGUGAAAGACGGUUUUGCUGUCACUUAUAGAUGGAUCCGCGUCGCAUUAGCUAGUUGGUAAGGUAACGGCUUACCAAGGCAACGAUGCGUAGCCGACCUGAGAGGGUGAUCGGCCACACUGGAACUGAGACACGGUCCAGACUCCUACGGGAGGCAGCAGUAGGGAAUCUUCCGCAAUGGGCGAGAGCCUGACGGAGCAACGCCGCGUGAGUGAAGAAGGUCUUCGGAUCGUAAAACUCUGUUAUUAGGGAAGAACAAAUGUGUAAGUAACUAUGCACGUCUUGACGGUACCUAAUCAGAAAGCCACGGCUAACUACGUG